GUGAGGAAUAUUGGUCAAUGGACGGAAGUCUGAACCAGCCAUGCCGCGUGCAGGAAUAAGGUCCUAUGGAUUGUAAACUGCUUUUAUUCGGGAAUAAACCUCUUUACGUGUAGGGAGCUGAAGGUACCGAAGGAAUAAGCACCGGCUAACUCCGUGCCAGCAGCCGCGGUAAUACGGAGGGUGCAAGCGUUAUCCGGAAUCAUUGGGUUUAAAGGGUCCGCAGGCGGGCUAUCAAGUCAGAGGUGAAAUCCCACAGCUUAACUGUGGAACUGCCUUUGAAACUGAUGGUGUUGAAGUAAGUGGGCGUUGGCGGAAUAUGACAUGUAGCGGUGAAAUGCAUAGAUAUGUCAUGGAACACCGAAAGCGAAGGCAGCUAACGAUACUUAUAUUGACGCUCAUGGACGAAAGCGUGGGUAGCGAACAGGAUUAGAAACCCGAGUAGUCC
rnacentral:rRNA from 1 species